rnacentral:rRNA from 2 species
GGGGCCGGUGGACAGGUGGUGCAUGGUUGUCGUCAGCUCGUGUCGUGAGAUGUUGGGUUAAGUCCCGCAACGAGCGCAACCCUCGUUCUAUGUUGCCAGCACGUGAUGGUGGGGACUCAUAGGAGACUGCCGGGGUCAACUCGGAGGAAGGUGGGGAUGACGUCAAAUCAUCAUGCCCCUUAUGUCUUGGGCUUCACGCAUGCUACAAUGGCCGGUACAAAGGGUUGCGAUACUGUGAGGUGGAGCUAAUCCCAAAAAGCCGGUCUCAGUUCGGAUUGAGGUCUGCAACUCGACCUCAUGAAGUCGGAGUCGCUAGUAAUCGCAGAUCAGCAACGCUGCGGUGAAUACGUUCCCGGGCCUUGUACACACCGCCCGUCAAGUCACGAAAGUUGGUAACACCCGAAGCCGGUGGCCUAACCCCUUGAGGGAGGGAGCCGUCGAAGGUGG